GAUGAAGAACGUAGCGAAAUGCGAUAAGUAGUGUGAAUUGCAGAAUUCAGUGAAUCAUCGAAUCUUUGAACGCACAUUGCGCCCCUCGGUAUUCCGUGAGGCAUGCCUGUUCGAGCGUCAUUUAACCCCUCAAGCCUAGCUUGGUAUUGGGUGCUUGUCCCGCCUCUCGCGCGGCGACUCACCUCAAAGUCAUUGGCAGCCCGCAUCUCGCCGGCCGUGAGCGCAGCACAGACGCGCUCUUGGCAACGACGGAUCGGCUCUCCAAAAGCUUAUUUCAACCACUGACCUCGGAUCAGGUAGGGAUACCCGCUGAACUUAAGCAUAUCAAUAAGCGGAGGA
rnacentral:misc_RNA from 1 species